CAGGACACAUUGAACAUCGAUAUCUUGAACGCAUAUUGCGGGCCUCGGGUAUUCCCGAGGCCACGCCUGUCUCAGGGUCGGUUGAACGUAUCUAUCGCGAGUUGUCUCUUGCUCGCGCAGUGGAUCGUCGCGGCUUGCCGCGUCCGUGUCGCAGGUCCCAGUCGUCGGUUGUCUCUUGCCGUACGACCGGGUCUCGAUGCGCGGCGCGGCGAGUCACGUCGUCCGAAGUUCAGACGGUUUGCACACAAGGCGAAACCGCACGUCUCGAAUCCGACGAACUCAGUACGCGAGACGGUUGCUCGGAUGCACAUCUUUGUACCGUCGUCGAGUGUUGGCGUUUGUCGGGUCUGUGCGGUAGUAGUCGUGCUUACGAAGCAUCGAUAUCGAACGGCA
rnacentral:misc_RNA from 1 species